GAUGAUCGGUAAUAAAUGAUGAGAUUAUUUUUCCGCACGGUCGCAGCGUUCAUGCCAUCCUAUUGGCGAUUUCCCAUUAUAAAAUUCCAUUUCAUGAGGGUUGUAUCUUCGCCGCCCUUCACUCAAUCUCUGUCUCUCUGAAGCCGGAGUUCUACCCCUCUCCUCCUCUCUCCCGUCUGCUUCGGAAGCGGAGAAAUCCCUCCUCGAUCUCAACGCCAUCGGCGUCGCGAAAGGUAACCGAUUUUCCGGAUCCCGAUUGAUUUUUUUUUCUUUUCAUAAUAGUCGUAGAUCUUUUUGAAUCGGAGCUUUCGGCGAGUUUUUCUGUUUCUUUCGUGUAGAUCUGUUGAUGGAUGUGAUCUCUUUUGUUGUUGUUGUUGGAUCUCUGUGAUUGAUGGCUCGAAGGAACUUGCUUUUAUUUUUUUCCUAAUUUUUUUUUUGGUAUGUUUGGAUUUUUUUUUUAAGGUUAAAAUAGUGAUCGGUGACAAAAUUGUUUAAUUUUUCAAUUUUAUUUUCCGUUGUUUAUAUGGCUUAAGAUUGAUCUGCUCUCUGGGUAUGGAGUGUAUGGUAUGUGAUUGAGGAUCGGAAAUAGACUGAAGUAAUCGGGUCCGAAAAUGGGAUUUGAACUAGACUUGAGUUUGUAAACUUGAAAAUAAUUGCGUUUAUUUAUAUGGAGAUUAUGAUCGAUCUCAAGGAGUGCAUGAUAUGCAUGGAUGCUAAUCGGUCGUGAUUGGGUGCAGUCGACAAGAUGUGAGAAUGCCCAAAUGAUUUUCCAGUGACGUGAAAAAUUAGAGUGUUUUGGAUUUUUUUUUCUUGUUAGGUUUUGGAAGUUGAUUUGGUCGAUUUGAAUUAACGAGAACAAUGAUUUUUCCGUCCACUGUAUAAUAGUC
rnacentral:lncRNA from 1 species